rnacentral:rRNA from 1 species
GACGAACGCUGGCGGCGUGCUUAACACAUGCAAGUCGAACGGAAAGACCCUGCUUUUGUGGGGUGCUCGAGUGGCGAACGGGUGAGUAACACGUGAGUAACCUGCCCUUGACUUUGGGAUAACUUCAGGAAACUGGGGCUAAUACCGGCUAGGAGCUCCUGCUGCAUGGUGGGGGUUGGAAAGUUUCGGCGGUUGGGGAUGGACUCGCGGCUUAUCAGCUUGUUGGUGGGGUAGUGGCUUACCAAGGCUUUGACGGGUAGCCGGCCUGAGAGGGUGACCGGCCACAGUGGGACUGAGAUACGGCCCAGACGCCUACGGGAGGCAGCAGUGGGGAAUAGUGCACAAUGGGCGGAAGCCGGAUGGAGCAACGCCGCGUGCGGGAUGACGGCCUUCGGGUUGUAAACCGCUUUCGCCUGUGACGAAGCGGGAGUGACGGUAAUGGGUAAAGAAGCACCGGCUAACUACGU